GGCCGGGUCCGGGCGACGGUGAUGGCGGGGGACGUGGGCGGGCGCCGCUGCCCGGACUCGGAGCUGCUGCUGCACCCGGAGUUGCUGUCCCGGGAGUUCCUGCUGCUCACGCUCGAGCAGAAGAACAUAGCUGUUGAAAAUGAUGUAAGAAUAAACAAAGACAAUCUUACUGAUCUGUAUGUCCAGCAUGCAAUACCAUUGCCUCAGAGAGAUUUGCCAAAGAAUAGAUGGGGGAAAAUAAUGGAAAAGAAAAGAGAGCAACAUGAACUGAAAAACGAGACCAAAAGGAGCAGCAGUGUAGAUGUGUCAAAGAAAAGACCUCUCAUUGUGUUUGAUGGAAGUUCAACAAGUACAAGCAUAAAAGUGAGAAAGACAGAGAAUGGGGAUAAUGAUCGACUCAAGCCUCCCCCUCAGGCAAGCUUUACCAGUAAUGCCUUUCGAAAAUUAUCAAAUUCCUCUUCAAGUGUGUCACCCCUAAUUUUGUCUUCCAAUUUGCCUAUGAACAAUAAAAUGGAACACAAUAAUACUGACACUAAACAGAACCAUGACUUAGCGCAUGGGAAAAGUCCUUUGGGGCCUGCGAAGCUGCCGCCUUUGUCCCCCGUGGGAACGACUCCAGUGAAGCUAAAGCGAGCUGCUCCGAAAGAAGAAGCCGAGGCCGCGGAUAACCUGAAACCCCCAGAAGCAAAGAGGAAGAUACAACACGUUACAUGGCCAUGAAGGAAAGUUUCCAAAAAUGGAGCAGUGGGACGCAGCACUCUGAUGAUGGAAGAGGAGGCGUGCCGGAGGGAGUGACUUCUGAAGGCUGCCGCUAGCUGGUGACAGCAGCGGCCAAACCUGGACCCCUGCCCUUUCCUUAAACCAGAGAUAGGCCCCUUCCUAGGCCCCUCCACGGCCACCCCACCCCUGGAGUAAAGGGCAAUGGCCCUGCUGUCACAUGACGGCCCGCUAGCGAGCGGAGAGAAGAGGGACAUAACAGACAACAGACGUCACCGCAGCAGGUGUGCGGCCGGCAGUUUCCCCCAGGAAGGACGGGGCUGGCGUCAGGAGCCUGCCCGGGUGCUGGCCUUGCGUGGCCUUGAGUGAGCAUCGCUCCUUCUGGGCUCCCAUUUUCACUCUGAUCCGGGGUCUCUCCUGGAUCUUAGUUCUCUGUAUUUCCACCUCAUACUCACCCUGAGCCCUCAGGCUGCCCUCUAAGGCCAGGCAGCCUUCAUGUCAGAAUGAGCAUUUAAAUGUACAGGGAGCGUUAUAAGGCUUUUUGCUCAUUUCUAGCUCUAUGUACCUUGUGCCUCAGCCUGGGGUCUCUGCAGAAGAGGGGGCUCCUGCGCCUGGGCCUCCUUGCUGUCAGCAUUCGUGGCGUGCCUCCUAUUUCAUGAUCUUUAUUGAUCUGUCUUCGUGUUCCCCGAUUUGCUCUCCUCCCAGCUCAAGCUUCUCUAGUGGUUUCUCAUGUUGGUUAUUGCACUUUCAGACUCCAGAAUUUGCAUUUGGCUCUUUUUAAAAAGGUUCACCGCUUAUUGGUGUUCUCACUCUGAUGAGUAAUGGUUAUCAUAAAUGUUCCUUUCAUUCUCUAAGCAUGGUUUCCUUUAGGCUUUCGAACAUGUUCAUAGUAAUGCUCAGCCAGGUCAGAGCUUCUGCUUAGCCCUCUGAGCAGACAAGGCUUCGAAGAGCUUUGCUGCCGUGUGUGGCUUGGCGAAUGCUCUCACGUCUGCUGCACGUCCUCCGACUGCUCCUCAGUGGGGGCAGCCCCGUCCAUGCCGUCUCCUGGACCCCCGGCGGCAAGUGGGAUCUCCUGAGGGCGCGUCUUCCCCGAGUUUUCUGGUAAACUGGCUAGUCUGCCAUUUUGCUUUUUGCUACUAGUCUCAUAAAGCUACUAGCUCCCUGGUAGUUGCUUGCCACUAAGAUCUGUGUUUUUGACAAGUUGGGUAAUUUAAGGUUGGAGAUGUUUUGUGCAGCUGUGUUUUUAACCAGGAACAAGUAAGAUGUUCCAUACUGAAAUUUGGAAAGCUUUUACUUUUGUUUUUUUGGAAUACUGCUAUUUUUAUUUUCAAAAGCACAUUUGCAAGAAUGCUUUUACUUUUAUAUUAUUGUGGACGAAAGGGGCCACAUGCUGACCUGACAAGCUCAGGGGAGGCCUGCAUGGCGGUCUUGCAGACUCAGAGACCUAAAGGAACCACAAAGGAUGGUCUGAAAUUAAACUUUAACUAAAAGCAGUUAUGGUGGGCAGUUACAUCCUAGGCCGGUAUCUUCACUCACAAGGUCAACCUUUACCUUAACUGAGCCUAUCUCUGUUUUUUUGCGUCUAUAACAACAUGCCCUUGAAAUGUCUGGGUAACUUGUAAUUUCUCUUUUUCUGGAUCUUGGGGCACAACCAAAUGUGGCUGGGU